rnacentral:lncRNA from 1 species
UUUUUUUUUUUUUUUGGUAACAUUUUAACUUAAAAAAAUCCUUAAUUAUUGAGGAUAUUUGGUGUGUGUAUAUGUUUGCAUGUGUGUGUUCCUCUCUGAAUGAUUGGAGUUGAUGGUUGGGGUUGGUGUCUGUGUUCAUGCAUGGACCAAAAUGUUAAAUGGAGGAUAUUAUUUGCACUGUGGCCAGUAUAAUAACUAAGGACAUUGAACUGCGGGCAGGAGAAUUCGAGCCCACUCAUGGCUGUAUGCUUCAGCUAUCCUGUGCUAUAAGAAACUCCCUUGUCAACAACUUUAACAUUACUGAAAUGUAAUUAUCUGUUUAUUUUCAGUACGUGAGGCAGCAUUGUUUAUAGUGCACAUUAGCAGAAGCAUAGAAAUUCUCUCUUGAAGAAGAGUGGUCCCAAUUUUACUUCAUGCUGAACCCAUCAGGCCAGGGCUACUUUGUUAUAGCCAAUUCUGAGUGUCAACCCUGGAAAGAAUGACCAGAAGAAAGACACUGUAGCUGUGCCUAGUGGUGUUAGCAAUGAGAUGGCCUUUUCCUGUAGCCGUCUAGAAUCAUCGGUUGAUUGUUUUUUUCUCUACUCUCUGUUUUAAAUGUACAAUCUCUUGAAUAUUUUUCUUUCUUUCUUUCUUUUUCUUUUUUUUUCUUUUUUUUUUUUUUUGUCUUUUGUCUUUUUAGGACCGCAACUGUGGCAUAUGAAGGUUCCCAAGCUAGGGUUCGAAUCAGAGCUAUAGCUGCCGGCCUGUGCCACAGCAAUGCUGGAUCUUUAACCCACUGAGCGAGGCCAGGGAUCGAACCUGUGUCCUUCCUCGUGGAUACUAGUAGGGUUCAUUAAUCACUAAGCCAAAAUGGGAACUCCUGAAUUUUUCUCUUCUGUAUUUUGCCAUGCUACUUUCUACUUUUCUUUGACCAACGUUUUAAUUUAAUUUGCUAUAUUCAUCCUUCCAGCUCUCUUCCUUGUGCACUCACUUCUCUAGAUUUAUCUAUGUUCACAUCCACUGACCCUUUACAUCCCUAGAGGCUGCUUCGUAUCAUUGUUCAGCUCUUUGCAAAUUAGCAUUUGGCAAACAGCUGAUAGGAGCUCCCCCAAAGGAUGAUAUUAACUAUCAGAAAUUUUUCUAUGACGUAAAUAAAUGUGCAAAGGUUUAUAUUUCUCUUUAGAGAAAUAUUAGUAAGUUGAGCUCCAGACCAUUAAAGAAGAUAGUUUAAAAAAAAAAAAAUGCAAACCCAUAGUCCCAGAACAUGGCACACAUGUGUUUUUUAUGUGAAAAUAAAACUGAAAUGGGAGUUCCAGUUGUGGCGCAGUGGUAACAAAGCAUGAGGAUGCAGGAUUCUUCACCCUGCUCAGUGGGUUAAGAAUCCGGCAUUGCUGUGAACUGUGGUGUAGGUCACAGACACGACUCGGAUCCUGCAUAGCUCUGUGGCUGUGGCAUAGGCCUGCAGCUGUAGCUCCAGUUCAAGCCCCUGCUUCAGCCUUGGAAUUUCCAUAUGCCCAGGGUGUGCCCCUGGAAAAAAAAA